GAUGAAGAACGUAGUGAAAUGCGAUAAGUAAUGUGAAUUGCAGAAUUCAGUGAAUCAUCGAAUCUUUGAACGCACCUUGCGCCCUUUGGCUAUUCCGAAGGGCAUGCCUGUUUGAGUAUCAUGAACACCUCAACUCUUUAUGGUUUUCCAUGAAGGGCUUGGACUUUGGGGGUCUUGCUGGCCUUUAGUCAGCUCCUCUCAAACGAAUCAGCUUUCCAGUGUUUGGCAGCGUCACAGGUGUGAUAACUAUCUACGCUUGUGGUUUUCUGCCAGGUAAUCCUCAGUGAUGGGGAUUCGCUGGGGCUUAUAAAUGUCUCUCCUCAGCGAAGACAGCUUUGUGAACGUUUGAUCUCAAAUCAGGUAGGACUACCCGCUGAACUUAAGCAUAUCAAUAAGCGGAGA
rnacentral:misc_RNA from 1 species